GUCUCUGCUGCUUCCUGAUUGUGUACUUCUGGUUCCAAAUGAGUUUAACCUCAGAAACUCUCUUUGAUGUAUUUAUGAACUCAAUCCAAAUACCAGUACUCUCAUCCUGCUUUUCUUUCCUGUAUUUGGAUGCAAAUCCAAGCACCCAGAUGCUAAGCAACGGAAGAUAUUUUCCAGUGGCAACAUUUCAUUCCUUGGCAGAAACUGCAGGCAAAUGAAACAAUUGUUUUGAUGAUUUUUGGAGUCACAUUUCAAGUCUGUCACACAGUUCAUGUGAUGAUGAGCUGACUGGGCUGUCUUGUCUUCCUGGACACUCUUUUUGGCUUUGCUUCUCCAUUAAUUCUGUUUGAAAACAAGUUCCUGUGCCAAUUCCAUUCCACAAGGGAGAGUUGCAGAUGACUGUUCAUGAUCAAAAGGAAAUAGUAUUUUUUCAUGGUCUUUUUUUUUUUUUUUGGAAAUGUUUGUUGCCCUCAGAGCUGGUGUAUAUUAAGAUUGGGCAACAGAUUACAGAUCAGAAAGGGGUUGAAAAAUAAUGAAAUAACUGGAACCAUAGGAAAUGUUUAUGGCAAGAGAACAGGAGAUUCAUAUUAAUAACCUGAAAAUAAAAUGACCAAAGAAUCACUAUCAAAUGCUAUGUAAUU